rnacentral:rRNA from 1 species
CAGGAACGCUGGCGGCAGGCUUAACACAUGCAAGUCGAGCGCCCCGCAAGGGGAGCGGCAGACGGGUGAGUAACGCGUGGGAAUCUACCCAUCUCUACGGAAUAACGCAUGGAAACGUGUGCUAAUACAGUAUACGUCCUUCGGGAGAACGAUUUAUCGGAGAUGGAUGAGCCCGCGUUGGAUUAGCUAGUUGGUGGGGUAAAGGCCUACCAAGGCGACGAUCCAUAGCUGGUCUGAGAGGAUGAUCAGCCACACUGGGACUGAGACACGGCCCAGACUCCUACGGGAGGCAGCAGUGGGGAAUAUUGGACAAUGGGCGCAAGCCUGAUCCAGCCAUGCCGCGUGGGUGAUGAAGGCCCUAGGGUUGUAAAGCUCUUUCACCGGUGAAGAUAAUGACGGUAACCGGAGAAGAAGCCCCGGCUAACUUCGUGCCAGCCGCCGCCGUAAUAC